UUUAUUGGGGUCACUCCAACCCCUGUGACAUACCAAUUGUUGCCUCGGCGGAUCAGCCCGCUCCCGGUAAAACGGGACGGCCCGCCAGAGGACCCCUAAACUCUGUUUCUAUAUGUAACUUCUGAGUAAAACCAUAAAUAAAUCAAAACUUUCAACAACGGAUCUCUUGGUUCUGGCAUCGAUGAAGAACGCAGCAAAAUGCGAUAAGUAAUGUGAAUUGCAGAAUUCAGUGAAUCAUCGAAUCUUUGAACGCACAUUGCGCCCGCCAGUAUUCUGGCGGGCAUGCCUGUUCGAGCGUCAUUUCAACCCUCAAGCCCUCGGGUUUGGUGUUGGGGAUCGGCGAGCCCUUGCGGCAAGCCGGCCCCGAAAUCUAGUGGCGGUCUCGCUGCAGCUUCCAUUGCGUAGUAGUAAAACCCUCGCAACUGGUACGCGGCGCGGCCAAGCCGUUAAACCCCCAACUUCUGAAUGUUGACCUCGGAUCAGGUAGGAAUACCCGCUGAACUUAAGCAUAUCAAACA
rnacentral:rRNA from 1 species